AAAGGAUGCAGUACUAGAAC
rnacentral:misc_RNA from 1 species